rnacentral:lncRNA from 1 species
CCACUUUCUUCUUUAAUCUCGCUCUUCCAUGCGAUGGAAGAGAAAUCCUGCCCCCCGGAGACUCGCCGCGACCCGCCGUGUGCGCUUCCCCCCCAGCCCCCUGCCUUGCUUCCCCGGGGAAAUGUGUGAUUUGUUUUGGUUUCCAAACCACUUCAUCCCGCUUCUCCUCCCUUAUCACUGGUUUUCCGCAUCAAGACCCUCAUCUGCGAGGCACGGGGUGCCUGACUUCACGUUGCCUUGCUAAAUGUGCCCGGGAGCGCAGCCGGCACCCCGGCGGGAUGGGAAACUGGGGGAGCUCCGGCGCUUCCCACACAUCCCUGCCGUCGUUCGCGGAAUCCUUCGGGUGCUGCUCCGCCACCGACUCCCACCCACUAGGAAGAAUUAUUCCACAGUAUCAGUCUGCCCUGUUUUUCACAGAGCUAACAAGGGAGCCUGCACAUGCUGCCCCAGAGCAGACUUUGCAAGGAUUUUCUUCAAGUGGAGAAAGCAGAGGUUGUGGAGAAAGUACUGGAGAAGAUGUGCCGAGUCCUGGUUCAGCACCGUAUCUGUGACAGCGGUGCUGCCUCCUCCAUUACAUCCCAUGUCCCAAGUGUCACUGUGGUUUGAUUUUCCUUUCCAGGAGGACUUUAGGGCAUGUUUAUCUUCUCAUGCUGGUUAUGUAGUUGCUGCCUUGGCGGUCGCUGUGUUACUGAGUGCUUCCAAGAAGAAACCUAAACCUGAGUGUCCCUAG